GGACUAUCAAUUGGCCGGUAUACUUACUGCUGGUUUGCGGCGUCAUUUUCUCUACAGUACAGAAUUCAUCUCUAGAACAUACAGACAAGUCGUUCGUCAUGGUUGACUCUAACUCUCAGUUGGAAGACGCUUUGAGUGUACUGCUGGCUGACAACAACGCAGACGGCUGUGUCUUUCCUAGUCUCGUCGACGUUGACGUCAUUCGACUAGAGGAAGUUACCCUACCGAAGACAAAUCAAGAAAACCGAAAUUCGUGCAAUGUAGUGAACAAUUCAACUGUGCUGCAUUUCUCGCCACGCUGUUUGACU